rnacentral:rRNA from 1 species
AAACCAACAGGGAUUGCCUUAGUAGCGGCGAGUGAAGCGGCAAAAGCUCAAAUUUGAAAUCUGGCACCUUCGGUGUCCGAGUCGUAAUUUGAAGAUUGUAACCUUGGGGUUGGCUCUUGUCUAUGUUUCUUGGAACAGGACGUCACAGAGGGUGAGAAUCCCGUGCGAUGAGAUGCCCAAUCCUAUGUAAGGUGCUUUCGAAGAGUCGAGUUGUUUGGGAAUGCAGCUCUAAGUGGGUGGUAAAUUCCAUCUAAAGCUAAAUAUUGGCGAGAGACCGAUAGCGAACAAGUACAGUGAUGGAAAGAUGAAAAGAACUUUGAAAAGAGAGUGAAAAAGUACGUGAAAUUGUUGAAAGGGAAGGGUUUGAGAUCAGACUCGAUAUUUUGUGAGCCUUGCCUUCGUGGCGGGGUGACCCGCAGCUUAUCGGGCCAGCAUCGGUUUGGGCGGUAGGAUAAUGGCGUAGGAAUGUGACUUUGCUUCGGUGAAGUGUUAUAGCCUGCGUUGAUGCUGCCUGCCUAGACCGAGGACUGCGAUUUUAUCAAGGAUGCUGGCAUAAUGAUCCCAAACCGC